rnacentral:lncRNA from 1 species
AAAAAAUCAAAAAUGAAAAAAAAAAAAAGAUAGCAUAUAUAAAUUGCCUACAACAGAGCCUAGUCCAUAUAUCUGUGCAAUGUAAUUGGGUAGACUAGUUUUAAAGAAUAACAUUAAUUUUGUUUGAUCUCUUUUUCUCUCCCACAAUUUUUUCUACUUGUAUUAACAAGAAAGCAGCAUUUUUGUAAUCUGACAUUUUCUAGAUUCCAUAUGAUUAAUGCAAUUUUCAGCAAACUUUAUGGUUAAUUUCUCUAGCUUUUAUGACCAUCUAUGAUUAAUGCUUUCUUAGCUAGUAAUAAAUGUGAUAAUGUUAUGAGUUCUGUAACUUGAAGCAUUAUAAGUAGAACAAAAUGAGAUGAUUUAUGCAAUUAAAGACAGGUAGGACAGCCCACACUUGACCCCCAUUCAAAAAAUAUAAAAUAAUUUAAAAUAGGAGUGCAGGCCUGUUUAGAAGAGAAAAACACAUCAUGCAAAAAAAAGAAACUGUGCUUUAAAAAGGUUGUCUGAAACUUUUUACAAAAUACAGCAUGCUCAGUAACAACAUGGCUUUUUUUAGUCAGAUUUGCUUCAAAUUCAUCCGGGUCCUGAGAACAAACAGAAAAAACUCAGCUAAGGAUAUGAAGAGAAUUUAAUGUUGGGGCUAUUUUCAGAGGUGUAGGGACCAAUAAGACCCAGGACUGUCAACAAUCAGAAGCCAUCAUUACAACAGGAUAUGUAGAGGUAUUAUCAUCAUUCCCCAGUUUUACAGAUGGAGAAACUGAGGAUCAGAAAAGAUACAACUCAAGAGCAGCGAAAUGAAGAGGCACACGGGACAAGGUCUUAGUGCUUUCCAAACACAGAACUCCACAGCCUUCAACUCGUGAAGUCAGGGUGUGUCUUCCUCCUGGCACAUUAAUGUGCUCAUCAACCAGGAAACUCCACUGAGCUUCAGCAUCCAGAGUUUUUAUUGCAGUUCAUUAAUUCUUUGGGCACAGAAUUAAAAUCAGUCUCCAGCUUUCCCCACCUCCUUGGUGGUUGGGUUAUAUCAAAGUUCCCUCCCUCUAAUCAUGUGAUUUUCUGUGGCCAGGCUUCAUCCUGAAGUUAUCCAGGGUACCACUAUGUGUUACUUAAUUAGCAUAAACUUAGGCAUGAUCCAAGGGGCUCAUAAGUAACAAGGACACUCUUGUUAUUCAGAAAAUCUCAAGAGCUUAGAGGCUCCCUCCCAGAAUCAGGGACAAUAUCCAGCCAAAUCCUUUAUUAUACACCAUGGGAUGAUUAUAUGCAUUGUAUUAUCAAGCGGGCCAAAAACAAGGCCUGAAUAUGUAACUGAUGAUCAAAUAAUGUAUUAAGAAAUAUAAAUGACUUGUUUCUUCUACACCAGAAUCACAGAUCAGCUUCAGUACUCAAAGCCAUCUGCUCUCCCAGCUUAUUCUGGUGUUAGGAAAUAAUGGGACUUGAGUCUGAGAACCGAACCACUUCAGGAGCAUUGGCAUCAUGUACAUGGAAUCACAUAAUCUACACCAUUGGCAUCUUAGUCUCUCUUAUUCUAUUUUAGUCUAUUUCAAAGUCUAAACAAUUUCUGAUCAUUAGCCAAAAGGGCCUCCUCUCUAAAUACUGACAGACUUGAAUGCCAUUCUCUUAGUUCAUCCAAUUUUAAAUAACUGAUGCUUUAUAGCAAACACCUCCAGACAUCAAUAUAGCUAUGAAAUCUAUAACAGAAAAGUACCAAAUUAUCUGAUCUCUCACUCAACUUCAGGAUAGAUAGGAUACCAAUUUUUCCACGCUGUAAUUUGUCUCAGAUUCUUUCAGCAUCUGUUGUAGAAAUGUACUCUGUAGAACUGUUUAUCCUGUCUAGCCCUCCAAUUCAGACAGCACAAAAAACACUGGAGUUGGAACUGGCAGACCUAAAGGCUAAGUUUCAGCUACCAACAUACAUUGAAAAUUUUACUUAACUUCUCUGUACUUCGGAUUUGUCAUCUGUUAAAUGAAAGUAAUGUCAAAAUCACAACCACACUGUAAUGAUAAAGUAUGAUAACACAUGUAUCACUUUAAGGCACAGUAGAAGAUAAAUUUGUUAAAACAGGCAGAAUCCUGAUUUGUGCUCUGAAGUCCUCAUGUUCAAUUAAACUGCAUUUUUUCAUAUGCUGUGCUUUAGGAUCAAUUACACACACACACACACAAACACACACUGUUCUCUGUUUAGCUCUACCAAAUGGCCACUUGAAGACAUAAUAUGCAUUCAGUAAUUACACCUCCACCCUUGGCAAGGUAGUUAGGGAUGGACUUUAAGCCUUACAAUGUGGCAAAAGCCUGCCAAAACAAAUCCAAAUACUAUACAAUGCUGGUAUCUCAACCCUGCCAAUAGCUCCUUCAGCUUAUCUUCAUGCAGAGAUACAUGGCUCUCCAUGGUAAGUCAGGUAUGUCAAUUUGCAUUCUAAAAAUGCCAAAUUUGUCCUCCUAUACUUCUGAUCCUGAAGUUAAAUAUUCAAAACACCAAAUACCUAUAUUUAGCACUCUACAAAGCUUUCAAUGUUGACUUGACAGCCAUGUGGUUCCAAUCAAAAGCCUGUAUAGGAAAAUUAAUAUUUGAGAAUAAUAGUCAACUGGUGUGUUUUGAUCUUCCUUAAUUCAUGCCUCCUUCAAUACAUUCUCUUGCACCUACUGUUAUGUUCAUCCCAGCCAAAUUUAGUUAUAAAAAGCCUAAUUUUCUGUUGUUUCAAGUUACAAUGAAUAUAUAUCAAAUAUCCUUGUCCAAAGUGCACACCACAUCCUCAGCUACUCCUGCUCAGAACUUGACAUGGAAAUAUGGUCACAGGAUAAGGAUUGAAGAGCAGACUGUUGGAUAGCAAUUUGGAAGUGACAAUGAGCAGCAAAGUAGAUAAUGAAACUAUUUUCAAGCCCUGAGAUUUGGGGUUGUGAAAGAGAAAACUGCUUCCACUUGUGAGUACUGUAAGAAAACCAAUAUCCUCUGAAGAUAGUCAGGUUUUGGUUUACGCAGGGAAGUCAAGAUAAUACUUUGUGACAAUGUGAAAAUUAAAAGAAUCCUGCUAAUGAGGAGGAAGGCAUUUCAGAGGGCAUCAUGGAACAGUCUGGGUACAAAAAGGAGGACCAGAUCAGUCAUCCACGGGCACCAUAGGGAAGAGAUUCCAAUUGGUGAGAGAUGGCAGAAAAGGCUUACUCUCUCGUGGAAACUCAGAUAAACAAGGACACGAGGCAUGAGGGAUUUGUCCUCAUAGUCUGGGCAAUGAGAAAAGACAACCAAUGUUACUACUGCUACAAGAAGUCACCACAGAGAAUUGCCCAUGGCAUUGUGGCUUACUUCAGCGUGAUGGAAUUUAAGCUACAAUUAACUUCUAAAAACUAUACCAUGUAGUGUAGUAGCCCAUCCUGUUGGCAUUUCCCAAAAAAUAUAAUGGCCAUCAAGGUUGGCAAGAUGAAGGAGGCAGGGGAAUGGACAGACACGGUCAAUGUAAUAGUGCUCAUGACCAUAGGCUAACAUUUUAUGUAUCUUACAGGCGACUUUUAAAAAUUACUCCUAUAAUUUGAUGGUAUCAAUUAUAAAGAAGAUAAAAAAUAUAAAUAUUUUGAAAUAACACAGAAUUCUCCUGUCUGCAUACUUUCCAACUGUGUGUAAACAAAGAAGUUAAUAAAUUCAUCAGAUUGGAAAGAUUUACUACCAAAGAACUCUAUCAGUGGACAAUUAAAAGGUUUAGUUAAGGAAUAUAUUCAUAAUUGCAAAUCUUCCUAUAGAAACAAAGAAAACACUUUGAGAUUAACGAGAAAACAUAGUCAGAAUCCAUCAUGGUUGAGGGAAAUAAUGAGGCUGCAGCUCAGGAAAUUCUCAGUUCUAUUACAAUAAAAAACAAGUUUAACAGCACAUACGUCAUUCAACAGUUACACUAUAUAGGUCUCUCAAAUAAACUAUUCUGUUCCCAUCCCCCAUUGCUUGUUUUAACAUAUGUUUCACACAUGAAAGUCUCUACCCCAUGACCAGCUUUU